UUGAAUUAAAGCAGUCGGUGGAUGCCUUGGAUGUAUUAGCCGAAGAAGGACGUGCCAGGCCACGAUAGGCGUCGGGGAGCUGCCAAGAAGCUGUGAUCCGGCGGUGUCCGAAUGGGAAAACCUCCUCAUUAGUAAUAGUGGGGGCCCCGACAGCGCAAGCUUGUCGGNNGUUCUCCCCGAAAUAUAUUUAGGUAUAGCCUUUCCUUAUUUAGGCGCAGGGGUAAAGCACUGGAUGGGCAUUAGGGACUUGUCUCUGAUGCUCAACCAAACUCUGAAUACUGCGUUGAUAACGGAAGGAGUCAGUUGCUGGGGGCUAAGCUCCAGCCGCAAAAGGGAAACAACCCAGAUCUCCAGCUAAGGUCUCUAAAUCACUUGCUUAGUUUGUAAGGAGGUCGUAGUCCUUAGACAGCCAGGAAGUCGGCUUAGAAGCAGCCAUCUUUGAAAGAAAGCGUAACAGCUCACUGGUUGACGGAAGACGGCGCCGAAAAUUUAUCGAGGAUAAAGCAGUGUACCGAAGCUGAGACCCCGACAGCGCAAGCUUGUCGGGGGGGGAACCCGGGGAACUGAAAUAUCUAAGUACCCGGAGGAAAAGAAAUUAAAUAAGAUGCCGUCAGUAGCGACGAGCGAAAGCGGUCUAGUCCAAACUCCGACAUUACGUCGGAGGGUUGUAGGGCUCCAAUAUGGGACUACGAGAGAUAGUCGAACAACUCGGAAUAGUUGGCCAAAGAAAGUGAAAGCCUUGUAGAUGAAAUUUUGAGUAGCUCUAGGAGAUUCCUGAGUACCACGAGAGACGGCAAACUCUUGUGGGAAGCCGGGGCGACCACGCUCCAAGACUAAAUACUAAUACAUACCGAUAGUGAACAAGUACCGUGAGGGAAAGGUGAAAAGAAGGGUCGAUGACCCAGUGAAAUAGUACCUGAAACCGAUUGCUAACAAACAGUGGGAGGGCCGACGUAAGUCGAGCCUGACCGCGUGCCUAUUGAAGAAUGAGCCGGCGAGUCUUUGCUGGUGGCAAGGUUAAGUCGCUUGAAGCGACGGAGCCAUAGUGAAAGCGAGCCUGAAUAGGGCGAUUAGUUGCCAGCAGAGGACCCGAAGCCGAGCGAUCUAUUCAUGAGCAGGGUGAACCUCGAGUGAUAUCGGGGGGAAGCCCGAACCUGUGUAUGUUGCAAAAUGCUAGGAUGACUUGUGAAUAGAGGUAAUAUGCCAAACGAGCUCGGAGAUAGCUGGUUCUCCCCGAAAUAUAUUUAGGUAUAGCCUUUCCUUAUUUAGGCGCAGGGGUAAAGCACUGGAUGGGCAUUAGGGACUUGUCUCUGAUGCUCAACCAAACUCUGAAUACUGCGUUGAUAACGGAAGGAGUCAGUUGCUGGGGGCUAAGCUCCAGCCGCAAAAGGGAAACAACCCAGAUCUCCAGCUAAGGUCUCUAAAUCACUUGCUUAGUUUGUAAGGAGGUCGUAGUCCUUAGACAGCCAGGAAGUCGGCUUAGAAGCAGCCAUCUUUGAAAGAAAGCGUAACAGCUCACUGGUUGACGGAAGACGGCGCCGAAAAUUUAUCGAGGAUAAAGCAGUGUACCGAAGCUGAGACCCCGACAGCGCAAGCUUGUCGGGGGGUAGGGGAGCGUUCUAAGGGCAGUGAAGGGCCGAUGUAAAUCGCGCCUGGAGCGCUUAGAAGUGAGAAUGCCGGCAUGAGUAGCGGAACUCCGGUGAGAAUCCGGAGGGUCGAAAGUCCGAGGUUUCCUACGCAACGUUCGUCGGCGUAGGGUUAGUCGGGCCUAAGGCAAGCCCCGUGUAGUGCGGGGGUAGUCGAUGGACAACAGGUUAAUAUUCCUGUACCGGUGACCAAUCGUUAUUCCCGACGCAAGUCGGGAUAAACAGCUGGGGUGGGACGGAAUUUGAGAAGUCGAGCGUCUUAUUGAUUUGACGUCUAAAAGGCGAGUCAGUCCCGAUGUGAAAAUCAGUCGGGACGACGGCGAGUCUUGAUGGAGAGUUCUCCUUUGGGAGAGCAAUUCGACCGGCUUAAGUUUCCGAGAAAAGCAUCGCAGCGAGAAGGGUCACCGCCCGUACCGCAAACCGACACAGGUGGACAAGUCGAGUAGACUAAGAUCAGCGGAAGAACGGUGGUUAAGGAACUCGGCAAAUUAGCUGGGAGUAAUUUUGAGAGAUUCCCUGUCCGACGUUACGUCGGACCGCAGCGAAAGAGUGCCAAGCGACUGUUUAACAAAAACACAGGUCUAUGCAAAGGCGCAAGCCUAGGUAUAUGGGCUGAAACCUGCCCAAUGCCGGAAGGUUAAUUGAGAGGGUGACGUCCGACUUCGGUCGUGACCGAGCCUUCGAUCGAAGCCCCGGUGAAUGGCGGCUUUAACUAUAAGAGUCCAAAGGUAGAAUCGCUGCCUUUGUAAAAUUUUGCUAUAUGCUGGAAACUCCGAGAAUCUUGAACUACUGCCUGUUUAUGUGUAAUACUACACAUAAUGGGAAGUAAAAAAGUUACAAGUGCGGACAAUCAGCAGGAAAGGCUAAAAACGAUUGGUUGGAUAGUUGGUUUCACAGAUGGUGAUGGUUGUUUUUGUAUUUCGAUAAACAAAAACCACAGAUUAAAACUUGGUUGGCAAGUGGUUCCUGAGUUUGUAAUAACUCAAGGAGAGAAAAGCCUAGAGAGCUUAAAACUUGUUAAAAAGUUUUUUAAAUGUGGAAGAAUCUUUAUUAAUCGAAGACAUGACAACCAUAAGGAAGACCUUCAUAGAUAUUGCGUGAGAAGUAUAGCUGACUUAGAAGAAAAGAUAAUUCCUUUCUUUGAGAAAAAUCAGUUAAAAACCUACAAAAGAAAAUCAUUUGAGACUUGGAGUAAAGCAGUGAAGUUGAUGAUAAACAAAAGACUUCAUUUAAGUAUGAAAGGGAUUAGAAAGUUAGCAGAAAUGUCAGCGGAGAUAAACCAACAGAAACGACCAAAGUUUUUAGAAUCCUCAGAGACUAUACGCAGAAGUCCCGCUAAGCGGGAUAAGAUAUAGUCCGAUCUCAUAAGCGAUUAUGAGUUAACAUUAUUAAGAGCGAAGUACCUUGUCGGGUAAGUUCCGACGCGCACGAAAGGUGUAACGACUUGGCAACUGUCUUGACCACUGAUCCGGUGAAAUUGAAAUGGCUGUGAAGAUGCGGCCUAUUGACUGCAGGACAAAAAGACCCCGUGGAGCUUUACUAUAACUUGACAUUGGUUUAUUUAAGUUGAUCGUCUAGGAUAGGCGGGACCCCGACUUUAUGUCGGGGGCCAGUGUAAUACCGCUCGUUAACUUGAGUAAAUCUAACUUAUGAUCUCUGGAAACGGGAUUAGGGACAGUGUCUGGGAGGUAGUUUCGCUGGGGAGGUGGUUUGCUAAAAAGUACCGCAAACGCGCAAAGGUACCCUUAGCGCGGAUAGAAAUCGCGCUGAAAGUGUAAAGGCAAAAGGGUGCUUGACUGUGACACUUACAAGUGAAGCAGGAGCGAAAGCUGGCCUUAGUGAUCCUCGAAUCCGUUGUGGAACGGAUCGGGCUUAUCGGAUAAAAGCUACCCCGGGGAUAACAGAGUAGUCGCACCCAAGCGUCCACAGCGACGGUGCGGUUCGCUACCUCGAUGUCGGCUCAGGGUAUCCUGGGGGUGUAGAAGCUCCCAAGGGUUGGUCUGUUCGCCCAUUAAAACCCUACGUGAGCUGGGUUCAGAACGUCGCAAGACAGUUCGGUCUCUAUCCGCAGUCAACGUUGGAUUCUUGAGGGAAGCUGACCUCAGUACGAGAGGACCAGGUUGGGCCAGUCCCUAGUGUGCCGGUUGUCGCAUCAGCGGCACUGCCGGGUAGCUACACUGGUUCGGGAUAACCGCUGAAAGCAUCUAAGCGGGAAGCCCAUCCCAAGAUGAGGAAUCCCAUUAAGAUCCCUGGGAGACUACCAGGUGAUAGGCAGCCGGUGUAAGUGCCGUAAGGCAUUUAGCCUAGCUGUACUAAUCGAUCGAUCGAAA
rnacentral:rRNA from 1 species